UGAAGGGAUGGAAACCAUGUAGCAUGAAGCUGAGCUGAAGUUAUGGGUUACUAACUGCUGUGAAGGAACACCACCAGAGCUUGCAGUACGUAAUUUCAUAAAUAAACGGCUUUUUGGCUUUUGUUUGUUUUUUACAAACUAUAGACCAUAAAUACAUCCUUCUUAUUCCACCUAGUGAUGCUUAAACUGGGGAGCUAUACCCCUUAUCACAGAAACAUAAGCCUCCCUGCCAGGAUGUGAUUGGCCAUUUUAGUAGCUCAGGGAAAGCAAAGUAUUAAAAAUCUCCUAGACCAUUCUGGGAUGCUGGUUUUCUCAGUUUGAGAUUUUCUGGGGUUAUUCAAAAGAUCAUUUAUUAUUCAUCAGCAACAUCCCCAACCUCGCCUCUAUCCUACAGCCCACAGGCUUCCUGAGCAACUGCCUUAAACUAAUACUGAAUUUAGCUGUCUUUGGUUUUAUCUUCAUGAUUAAUAUGCACAGCAUAAUGAGACCUGCCUUUACAGCGAUUAAAGCCCAGAAGCCUGGAGACGCGGAGGAUCGCAUGGUUGGCGCCCAGCAUUACGGCCUGCUCUUAUGGUUAGCCUGCUUAGCAUGGAAUGCUGUGUGUCACUGAAGACUAUAAACAUCUGUCCUGACACAGGGGAUCCAUUGAUCUUUGCUGCAAAGGGAUUGCGCUGAUCACUCUCUGGGGCGGCAUUCCUGAGCUGUUUAGCACCCAGGGAUAGAGGAGAUGCCAGGUCAGGCCCUUGAGGGGGGUUUCCAAGCCCGCAGUGUGCAGGGGAAUCUAAAUAAAAGCUGCUGCUGUAGUUUUUUUGGGGGGGUCGGUUGACAGUGGGUGGCAGGGGGCCCCGAUUAUUCACCUAGCUGGACGCGUGGAACUAAACAUUGUGCUGGCAGCGUGAAGCACUUUCUGUAAUAUGGGGCUGACACUGGAGCAGCAGGUGGUUUAAUUGCUAGGACAGGGAACUAUUACUUAAGAUAAUUGCAGGAAAAUGGCAUUGUAACUUUGCACUAUAACAUGUAUAAAUCAGUUUAAAUUAGAAAUAAAUGGAGAGCUAAUCAGCUUUUACAGUUUUAUAAAUAGUGUCAUGUCUUUGAUAAAAACAGCCGCCUUUCUGUUAUCUUUUAUCCCCACAUGGAGGAACACAUACAGAAAAGAAAACAGUAUGGGAUCUUUGUUCAACAACCGCUCCUUCCUUACUGGAAAUGGGAAAAAGCUUCUUAGUGGUGAGAAUGAAUUAGUCUCCAUCGCAUGGAUCCGAUGCCACCCAAGACGUUACGAAGAACUAUAAUUUCCAAGAGAAAAGUACAGAGAGCCAGUGCCCUGUGGGUGGGGGACCCAGCCAGGACGGGAAGAGAAUGCCUGAAUGGAUCCCCUGUAGUGCAGAGCACCUUAAUCAUCACGACGGGCUGGGCCGCCCUCCCGGCCCAUGUGAGACAGCCCAGGAGGACCCUCUGCGAAUAUCCACACAUCCUCCAAUGGUGGGGGAUCAUUUCAGCUGAUAAUUUAACUGUCUCAAGCACAUUAAAUUGAGGUAAAUAUUUGACAGUGUAUUCAGUUAAUGGGUAUUUUAUUAUCAAUCGUUGCUGUUUUUGUUUUCAGUCACUGCAAUACACUGGUGUUUACAUGUCAUUGAGAAAUAUGCCAUCAUUCAGUCCACUAUCCUAAUACAAAUAUUGCAAAUUAUUAAACUGCUUUGUUUAAUUAUGAAUCUGCCUUUUCGGAUCAAAGUGUACCAAAGGUAAUUAAUUAAACGAGGCUUCACUCUUUUCCUACCAGCGUUUGAUUGUCUGCUGCUCUGGCCCCGUGGUUGUGCUCUGUAAACGUGUAGCUUUCAGAUCUUUCCUUAGGUCUGUUUGUACCUUUACCCAAGGAAUGAAACAGCUAUGGAAAUGAACUACACUCUGUUUGCCUUGCAUUUAUAUGUGGUUUGUAUGGACAAGAUAAUGGAAAACUAGCACUAAAAUGUUAUUUUCUGGUUAGUCCUCAAAGCAGAGCUGUAAAUCACAUUUAGGCUCCCAUACAAAUGACUGCCGCGCAUUGUUUGUUUGGCAGAUGCAUUGUAAGUGCAGGGGGGCUCAUUAACUAACAUCGCCUAGAAGAAAACAAACAUAAAACUCCGUGACCUGGAGCGUGAGAUGAACGGGUCGUUCUGGUUUGGAGAGAUGCAGGAGUCACAAUUCAGCGGCAUAACAUCACAUCUGAGAGUAAAUGAUAAACAUGAACUGACGUUCAUUUAGCCUGAUCAGCCGGCUGUGAAAAGGAGAAGGGAGACCGUGAGGCAGCAGUGGCUCUUCCUCUGUGAUGCGUGUGUGGGGUUUGAGGGGGGGGAAGCCAGGCCCCGUUGCUGACGAUG